GAUGAACGCUGGCGGCGUGCCUAAUACAUGCAAGUCGAGCGAACGGACGAGAAGCUUGCUUCUCUGAUGUUAGCGGCGGACGGGUGAGUAACACGUGGAUAACCUACCUAUAAGACUGGGAUAACUUCGGGAAACCGGAGCUAAUACCGGAUAAUAUUUUGAACCGCAUGGUUCAAAAGUGAAAGACGGUCUUGCUGUCACUUAUAGAUGGAUCCGCGCUGCAUUAGCUAGUUGGUAAGGUAACGGCUUACCAAGGCAACGAUGCAUAGCCGACGUGAGAGGGUGAUCGGCCACACUGGAACUGGGACACGGUCCAGACUCCUACGGGAGGCAGCAGUAGGGAAUCUUCCGCAAUGGGCGAAAGCCUGACGGAGCAACGCCGCGUGAGUGAUGAAGGUCUUCGGAUCGUAAAACUCUGUUAUUAGGGAAGAACAUAUGUGUAAGUAACUGUGCACAUCUUGACGGUACCUAAUCAGAAAGCCACGGCUAACUACGUG
rnacentral:rRNA from 1 species